rnacentral:rRNA from 1 species
UACGUAGGUGACCAGCGUUGUCCGGAUUUACUGGGCGUAAAGAGCGCGCAGGCGGUCGUUCAAGUCGAGUGUGAAAGCCCCCGGCUCAACUGGGGAGGGUCAUUCGAUACUGAUCGACUCGAAGGCAGGAGAGGGAAGCGGAAUUCCCGGUGUAGUGGUGAAAUGCGUAGAUAUCGGGAGGAACACCAAUGGCGAAGGCAGCUCGCUGGGACGUGACUGGCGCUGAGACGCGAAAGCGUGGGGAGCAAACAGGG